rnacentral:rRNA from 1 species
GUAGGGAAUAUUGGGCAAUGGAUGCAAGUCUGACCCAGCCAUGCCGCGUGGAGGAAGAAGGUCCUCUGGAUUGUAAACUCCUUUUUUGGGGGAAGAAUAGUUUUCUUGCGAGAGAAUGUGACGGUACCCUAAGAAUAAGUCACGGCUAACUACGUGCCAGCAGCCGCGGUAAUACGUAGGUGGCAAGCGUUGUCCGGAUUUAUUGGGUUUAAAGGGUGCGUAGGUGGUUUGAUAAGUCAGUGGUGAAAGCUGGUUGCUCAACAAUCAAGUUGCCAUUGAUACUGUCGGACUUGAGAGAAGUGGAGGUUCAUGGAAUGGAUGGUGUAGCGGUGAAAUGCAUAGAUAUCAUCCAGAACGUCGAUUGCGAAGGCAGUGGGCUGUACUUUAUCUGACACUGAGGCACGAAAGUGUGGGGAUCAAACAGGAUUAGAUACCCUAGUAGUCC